rnacentral:rRNA from 1 species
UACGGAGGGAGCUAGCGUUGUUCGGAAUUACUGGGCGUAAAGCGCACGUAGGCGGCUUUGUAAGUUAGAGGUGAAAGCCCGGGGCUCAACUCCGGAACUGCCUUUAAGACUGCAUCGCUUGAAUCCAGGAGAGGUGAGUGGAAUUCCGAGUGUAGAGGUGAAAUGCGUAGAUAUCUGGAGGAACACCGGUGGCGAAGGCGGCAUCCUGGACCAACACUGACACUGAGGAGCGAGAGCCAGGGGAGCAAACGGG